UACGUAGGGUGCGAGCGUUGUCCGGAAUUACUGGGCGUAAAGAGCUCGUAGGCGGUUUGUCGCGUCGUCCGUGAAAACUUGGGGCUCAACCCCAAGCUUGCGGGCGAUACGGGCAGACUUGAGUACUGCAGGGGAGACUGGAAUUCCUGGUGUAGCGGUGAAAUGCGCAGAUAUCAGGAGGAACACCGGUGGCGAAGGGCGGGUCUCUGGGCAGUAACUACGUGAGGAAGCGAAAGCGUGGGUAGCAAACAGG
rnacentral:rRNA from 1 species